GAUGAACGCUGGCGGCGUGCCUAAUACAUGCAAGUCGAGCGAACAGGCGAGGAGCUUGCUCCUCUGACGUUAGCGGCGGACGGGUGAGUAACACGUGGAUAACCUACCUAUAAGACUGGGAUAACUUCGGGAAACCGGAGCUAAUACCGGAUAAUAUAUUGAACCGCAUGGUUCAAUAGUGAAAGACGGUUUUGCUGUCACUUAUAGAUGGAUCCGCGCCGCAUUAGCUAGUUGGUAAGGUAACGGCUUACCAAGGCAACGAUGCGUAGCCGACCUGAGAGGGUGAUCGGCCACACUGGAACUGAGACACGGUCAAGACUCCUACGGGAGGCAGCAGUAGGGAAUCUUCCGCAAUGGGCGAAAGCCUGACGGAGCAACGCCGCGUGAGUGAUGAAGGUCUUCGGAUCGUAAAACUCUGUUAUUAGGGAAGAACAAAUGUGUAAGUAACUAUGCACGUCUUGACGGUACCUAAUCAGAAAGCCACGGCUAACUACGUG
rnacentral:rRNA from 1 species